rnacentral:rRNA from 1 species
UUCCCAGACUCCUACGGGAGGCAGCAGUGGGGAAUAUUGGGCAAUGGGCGCAAGCCUGACCCAGCAACGCCGCGUGAAGGAAGAAGGCUUUCGGGUUGUAAACUUCUUUUGGCAGGGAAGAGUAGAAGACGGUACCUGUCGAAUAAGCCACGGCUAACUACGUGCCAGCAGCCGCGGUAAUACGUAGGUGGCAAGCGUUAUCCGGAUUUACUGGGUGUAAAGGGCGUGUAGGCGGGACUGCAAGUCAGAUGUGAAAAUUAUGGGCUCAACCCAUAACCUGCAUUUGAAACUGUAGUUCUUGAGUGAUGGAGAGGCAGGCGGAAUUCCGUGUGUAGCGGUGAAAUGCGUAGAUAUACGGAGGAACACCAGUGGCGAAGGCGGCCUGCUGGACAUUAACUGACGCUGAGGCUCGAAAGUGUGGGGAGCAAACAGGAUUAGAUACCCCAGUAACA